GGGGCUGUAGCUCAUUUGGUAGAGCGCUGCAAUCGCACUGCAGAGGUAGUGAGUUCGACUCUCAUCAGCUCCACCA
rnacentral:tRNA from 1 species